UACGUAGGGGGCAAGCGUUGUCCGGAAUCAUUGGGCGUAAAGAGCGUGUAGGCGGUCCGGUAAGUCCGCUGUAAAAGUCAAGGGCUUAACCUUUGAAUGUCAGUGGAUACUGCCGGGCUAGAGUCCGGAAGAGGCGAGUGGAACUCCUGGUGUAGCGGUGGAAUGCGCAGAUAUCAGGAAGAACACCAACGGCGAAGGCAGCUCGCUAGGACGGUACUGACGCUGAGACGCGAAAGCGUGGGGAGCGAACAGG
rnacentral:rRNA from 1 species